AUCUCAUAUAUCAUCACAAAAGAAGCACAAUUAAAGUUCCAACCAUGACCAUUAUCAAACCAAGAGUGGGCAAAUCAUAAGUAUCUCCAUGCCAUCACGAAGGAUGAUUCACAGGCAAACCAAGUACCAUGAGUACAUCCUAGAAGUAACCCGUACGUACGUACACCACACCACACGGGGCAAAAUAAGACAAAGUACCAAAUCCCUCUCUCAAAAGCGAUUCUAGUUAACCACUAUGCAUGUUAUUGGUGCUUAUUCAUAGCUUCUGCGAUUUUCUGGUCAUUACGCUUUCCCAUAUAGUGGCCUUCCAGGAAUACAAAGGCGAGAAGAAAAGCGAGCAACCAAGGUUCUGCACUUAUUAAUUCAUCUGUCUUCUUUCUCUGAUGGGUUGUUCUGAAAACAAUGAAACAAGCAUAGUUACUAAAAUGAUACAUGACCCGUUUCUCUUUUUCUGUUUUUUUUUUCAUUACUCCAAUAUGUGCAUACAACGUACAUGAAAGGGUGCUCAGUGAAUGAAAUACCUUGUAGAGUAGCGUGACGCAGAGCCCCUUGUAUCAAGUUCAGCCUGCAUGUUGAUCCAGUUAAGUAGGUUUAUUUCCUUAAAUUCGAACGUGGCACUUGUACUACUCAGGCUUUGUAAUUACUCUACAAAUCCUAUGAAUAAUAUAGUAUCAGCUGCCUGUCAUCACCCAUCACUACUGU
rnacentral:lncRNA from 1 species